GCUUAUCACCAUUCCAGAUUGAAUAUACCCGAUCUCGUCUGAUCUGGGAAGUCAAGCAAUCUCGGGCUUGGUUAGUACUCGGAUGGGUGACCACUUGGGAAUACCAAGUGUGAUAAGCA
rnacentral:rRNA from 1 species